UGAUGUCCUAAGAAACAACUUUUGCGACAGACCAAUGGGUGAAAAGAUAAGCCGUAUGAAGCUAUAAUCAGGUGUGGAGCCUCAUCUAGGACACACAAGGCAGAAGUGGAGAUAAGAGCUGACUCUCCAGCGUAGCUAGGGGGCGUGGCUAACCCCACACGUCUCCAGGCCUUAUCUAGAAUCUAAUGGCUUUAAGGUAGGUAAAUUGAACAAUUUUCAAGUCAAAGAAACAGUUUGACCUUAAAGCAUUUAGCAAAUCUGAUAUCUGACUUUAAUUUAAACCAAAUGUCUACAUUUUCAAGACGUUUUAUUUUAUCAAUAAUCUUUAAAACUGUCUUUAUUUCCAAAGGAUUACUAAAGUUAUGUGAACAAAAAAAGCAUUAAAGUUUCUAUUGUUCUUACAAAAUAUUUGAUUUAAACUCUUAUUUUUUAAGCCAAUUAAUGAGAGCUCUUUUAUAUAUAAACAUGCAACACAUAUAAAUACAUAGACAGAAGAUUCAGCACUUGGAAGAUUUUUCAUUUGCCAGUUUCUUGAUGGGAUUAUGGGCCUCAGGGUGGAGCUCUUGGAAAAACAGGGCCAGGAAAGCAUGCAUUUCUAGGGUCAAAUAAGUAGCAAAUAAGCAGCUGAAGGCAAAGACAGAUCCCCAAAAUGAAGGAUGCCAUUUUAGACUGAUUCCUGAAUCCUCAAAAGGAGGGAAAUGAUGUAAGAGAAGGCAAUGCAGUGCUUCUACUCUGCAUGUCAUUGCAAGGCAACCCAAAGCCAAUCAGCCCAUUUUGUAAUCAGCCCGUACCUCAUGGGAGUCUCAUCUCCCAGUGGGGAGUGAAAAUGUUUUCUUAUCUUCCAAGUGGCCCAGAGUAUGCUUCUCUGAUUCAAGUGUUCAAAGAGAUAAGUAUCCCUUCAUAACUACUAUCAGCCAUCCAUUAAAGUAUAUUUCUUACCAAGUUAUUGCCACUAAAACUCUUUCAUAAUGUGAAGCAAUUUCUGAUACCCCCAAACUUAAAAGCUUCAGACAAAAAACGAAACAAAACAAAACAGAGCCUUUGGUUUUGAGAGGGGUCUCUCUGCUUUUAAUUCCUGGGGUUUCAUGAGGAAAACAGAGGAUUUUUUCUCAAAACAGGGUCUGUGGCACCUCCUCUGUUUUUCCCCAGGGCUCCCAGGCUACCAGAAGUUACCUUACAGCCUCUCAUUUUUGCAUUAAGACUGGUGAGGCAAAAAAAUAAUAAUAAUAAUUUAAAAAAAGGGAGAAAAAUAAUUCAAUCAACUGAGAAGAAAAAGUCUUUUCUAGAAAAAUAAGAUCCAAGAAGGGAAAAACAUAAAGACCUUUUAAGCAUAUCUAUAGUUUGUUUAUACACUUUUAAUUAAGCCGAUUUUAACCAUAUCACUCUUUG